rnacentral:rRNA from 1 species
AUGUUUCGACUAGUAGAUACUUCUGAGUCGAAGGAGGACAAGGGAAGGAGUCACAGAGUGGAUGAAGAGCGACACAUUCAUGAGAGCCGGAGGCAGACCCGGACCAGCAAAAACGCAGAACUCUCCUCCGGCUUACCAAAUACACCAAGGAAGCGUUGGAACGAGGUCACCUCCAACUUAACUCCUUUUUAUCCUUUGGCGGGUCUCACUCGUCAACCACUCAACUCUUCUGACUCAAAUUAUCAUGACACUUUGCCUUCCUCCGGCGACUCGCUCCAGUCCAACAUGCCGGCUUUUAAGACCGCUCCAGGCGGACAAGCCAAGCCCAGCAAGAAGGCAAAGAAAAGCAAGCCGGCCGAAGAACCAUCUUUCAAAGAGCCGGAGCUCCAGACGGCCGCUCCUGAGGCCUCUGUUCCUGAACCGCCGCUUGAACCGGCGCAUGAUACACCAACAUCAAUUAUUGACCCGCCUGCCAAUCAAGCCAUCGAUGGCUCUGAAAAUCUUGAAGUCUCUAACUCGGCUAAGACAGACGACCCACAAGAUGCUGAUGUUGUAAUCACCAAGACUGGCUACACUGAGCUGGGGAGACCUACUAUGCUAGCCAAGUGUUCUGCCAAAGAAGAGCACCUGGAACACCGUAAGGUCAGAUUUGACAUUACUGAUUAUACUCACAUGAGCAUUGGGGAAGUUUUUUCUGGAUAUCUUAGCCAAGUGCACAACAACCGUGACCUCGAAGUUGAUAUGGUGAAGCAAAUGCAUCAGAAAUUUGAGGAUUUUCCACAGGCCACGACCACUCAACUGCAAUCAGAACUGUCUGAAUUGAAGAACCGCCUAGAAGUUCAGGAGAAUGAAACUCAAAAGGCCAACUCCAAAUUUGAAUUCAGCGUGGCUGAACAAGAGAAACUAAAAUCCGAGGUUGAGGUUGAGAAAAAGGCCUGGGCUGAGGAAAAAAUUGCCUUAACCCAACGAGCUGAAACAGCAGAAAAGGCUCUUGAAGAGGUGACCACUGAAUUAUCCUAUUUAAAACGCCGUGUAUAUCAAAUGGUCUCAGCAAUCUUUGGAGCUCCAACCUCAACCAGGACAUGCUGGUAA